GGAAGGGUACCGAAGAGGUCAUAACGGCGCCGAUUCGAAAUCGGAUGGUCGGGUCAUACCGGCACGUGGGUUCGACUCCCACCCCUUCCGCCA
rnacentral:tRNA from 1 species